AACGCGAAGAACCUUACCAGCUUUUGACAUGUCCCGUAUGAGAAACAGAAAUGUAUCUCUUCACUUCGGGUGGCGGGAACACAGGUGCUGCAUGGCUGUCGUCAGCUCGUGUCGUGAGAUGUUGGGUUAAGUCCCGCAACGAGCGCAACCCUCGCCCUUAGUUGCCAUCAUUCAGUUGGGCACUCUAAGGGGACUGCCGGUGAUAAGCCGCGAGGAAGGUGGGGAUGACGUCAAGUCCUCAUGGCCCUUACAGGCUGGGCUACACACGUGCUACAAUGGCGGUGACAAUGGGAUGCAAUGGCGCGAGCCUGCGCAAAUCUCAAAAAGCCGUCUCAGUUCGGAUUGCACUCUGCAACUCGAGUGCAUGAAGUUGGAAUCGCUAGUAAUCGCGGAUCAGCACGCCGCGGUGAAUACGUUCCCGGGCCUUGUA
rnacentral:rRNA from 1 species